rnacentral:rRNA from 1 species
GACGAACGCUGGCGGCGUGCUUAACACAUGCAAGUCGAACGGAAAGGCCCUGCUUUUGUGGGGUGCUCGAGUGGCGAACGGGUGAGUAACACGUGAGUAACCUGCCCUUGACUUUGGGAUAACUUCAGGAAACUGGGGCUAAUACCGGAUAGGAGCUCCUGCUGCAUGGUGGGGGUUGGAAAGUUUCGGCGGUUGGGGAUGGACUCGCGGCUUAUCAGCUUGUUGGUGGGGUAGUGGCUUACCAAGGCUUUGACGGGUAGCCGGCCUGAGAGGGUGACCGGCCACAUUGGGACUGAGAUACGGCCCAGACUCCUACGGGAGGCAGCAGCGGGGAAUAUUGCACAAUGGGCGGAAGCCUGAUGCAGCAACGCCGCGUGCGGGAUGACGGCCUUCGGGUUGUAAACCGCUUUCGCCUGUGACGAAGCGUGAGUGACGGUAAUGGGUAAAGAAGCACCGGCUAACUACGUGCCAGCAGCCGCGGUGAUACGUAGGGUGCGAGCGUUGUCCGGAUUUAUUGGGCGUAAAGGGCUCGUAGGUGGUUGAUCGCGUCGGAAGUGUAAUCUUGGGGCUUAACCCUGAGCGUGCUUUCGAUACGGGUUGACUUGAGGAAGGUAGGGGAGAAUGGAAUUCCUGGUGGAGCGGUGGAAUGCGCAGAUAUCAGGAGGAACACCAGUGGCGAAGGCGGUUCUCUGGGCCUUUCCUGACGCUGAGGAGCGAAAGCGUGGGGAGCGAACAGGCUUAGAUACCCUGGUAGUCCACGCUGUAAACGGUGGGUACUAGGUGUGGGGUCCAUUCCACGGGUUCCGUGCCGUAGCUAACGCUUUAAGUACCCCGCCUGGGGAGUACGGCCGCAAGGCUAAAACUCAAAGGAAUUGAUGGGGCCCCGCACAAGCGGCGGAGCAUGCGGAUUAAUUCGAUGCAACGCGUAGAACCUUACCUGGGUUUGACAUGGAUCGGGAGUGCUCAGAGAUGGGUGUGCCUCUUUUGGGGUCGGUUCACAGGUGGUGCAUGGCUGUCGUCAGCUCGUGUCGUGAGAUGUUGGGUUAAGUCCCGCAACGAGCGCAACCCUUGUUCACUGUUGCCAGCACGUUAUGGUGGGGACUCAGUGGAGACCGCCGGGGUCAACUCGGAGGAAGGUGGGGAUGACGUCAAGUCAUCAUGCCCCUUAUGUCCAGGGCUUCACGCAUGCUACAAUGGCUGGUACAGAGAGUGGCGAGCCUGUGAGGGUGAGCGAAUCUCGGAAAGCCGGUCUCAGUUCGGAUUGGGGUCUGCAACUCGACCUCAUGAAGUCGGAGUCGCUAGUAAUCGCAGAUCAGCAACGCUGCGGUGAAUACGUUCCCGGGGCU